rnacentral:snRNA from 1 species
GCGCCCGCUUUGGCAGCACAUACACUAAAAUCGGAAUGGUUCAGAGGUUACCAUGGUCCCUGUGCAAAAAUGACAAGAAAAUCCGUGAAGUGUUCCAGAGCCCA